AAUGCAUUUCUAAUUUUAUUUUGACUGUAUCAUUCUUUCAACCAUUACAAAAUUUAGCUGAUGUCUUUUUUCAUAUCGUUUUAGGUUCCACACGACUGUGCUGAUUAUGUUGGGUUGGAUGGCGUUCACUGUAUUAAUGUCAACUCUAUGAAUAGACAACUCCGGGUAUCAUGUGAGGAAGGGUGGACAGUUCUGAUGCGUAGAACAGGACCCGAGUUAAACUUUAACAGGUCCUGGGCUGAUUACCGUGACGGAUUUGGUGACGUUGCCGGCGACCACUGGUUGGGACUGGAAGCGUUUCAUCAUCUCACCUACCAGGGAAACUACUCCUUAAUGGUCGAAGUAAGGAGCUUGCCCACUGAUAAUUACUACUGGGAAAUCCACCACGGUUUCCGCAUAGGCCCGGAAUCAGGAAAAUAUGUUUUCAAUGAAUUCCAGCAAGGUUUCGGAAACAUAAGUCAGGGUCCCAAUUAUUGGUCUUUCCAAUUUGGCAUGCCAUUUUCCACCUUUGAUGCUGACAAUGAUGAAAACAUCAUGCAUAGAAAUUGUGCUGAUGAAUUCAAGGGCGGUUGGUGGUACAGCGAUUGCACACAUAUCUCCCUCACGGGAAAAAUGGCGACGAUGAACUGUACUGCACAUUGUUAUCUGCACUUUAAACAUGCAGGCGUGGAUGAUGAAGACAACGAACAUUUGCUCCGUUCGGCUACUAUGAAGAUAAAGAAAUUCGAUUGAAGGGAAGGGAAACCAAGUUCAGAGAGGGAAUCGCAGAUCAAAAAUGUAUAGAACUCCAUUAGAUGUUUUCCUGAAGUUCGUAAUUUGUUCUCUUUUAUAACAGUCCGUACCACCAUUAUACGUUGUACUUAUUUACUAGUAUCUUAAUUUAAACCGAGCCAUUUUUGUAAAUGGUAUAUUUUAACAAACCUGUAUAAGUCCUUAUGUUUGCUUUUUUACUGUACGACUCUGAACCCAUCGGUUUAGCAAACAAAGUGCCGUUGAACCUUGGAGCAUUUUGGGCACGUGGACUUAUUUUCCAUGGACUGUCAACAAAUUGCUGAAGUGUGCAUACUGAAAAUAAUAAGGAUUAGGUUGUUAACUUAAAAUGAUACAGUGUGCAGCGUCAUAUAGCAAAAGCAUAUAAGACUAUUUCUUUAAAACUGAGUACUGAAAGCAUCGUCUUUUUUAAACUGAAUUUGACAGUCCAACUUCAU